UGGGGAAUUUUGGACAAUGGGGGAAACCCUGAUCCAGCCAUCCCGCGUGUGCGAUGAAGGCCUUCGGGUUGUAAAGCACUUUUGGCAGGAAAGAAACGUCGCGGGUUAAUACCCCGCGAAACUGACGGUACCUGCAGAAUAAGCACCGGCUAACUACGUGCCAGCAGCCGCGGUAAUACGUAGGGUGCAAGCGUUAAUCGGAAUUACUGGGCGUAAAGCGUGCGCAGGCGGUUCGGAAAGAAAGAUGUGAAAUCCCAGAGCUUAACUUUGGAACUGCAUUUUUAACUACCGGGCUAGAGUGUGUCAGAGGGAGGUGGAAUUCCGCGUGUAGCAGUGAAAUGCGUAGAUAUGCGGAGGAACACCGAUGGCGAAGGCAGCCUCCUGGGAUAACACUGACGCUCAUGCACGAAAGCGUGGGGAGCAAACAGGAUUAGAUACCCUGGUAGUCCACGCCCUAAACGAUGUCAACUAGCUGUUGGGGCCUUCGGGCCUUGGUAGCGCAGCUAACGCGUGAAGUUGACCGCCUGGGGAGUACGGUCGCAAGAUUAAAACUUAAAGGAAUUGACGGGGG
rnacentral:rRNA from 1 species